rnacentral:rRNA from 1 species
GUGAGGAAUCUUCCACAAUGGGCGAAAGCCUGAUGGAGCAACGCCGCGUGAAGGAUGAAGGUCUUCGGAUUGUAAACUUCUUUUAUGAGUGAAGAAUAUGACGGUAACUCAUGAAUAAGCACCGGCUAACUACGUGCCAGCAGCCGCGGUCAUACGUAGGGUGCAAGCAUUAUCCGGAGUGACUGGGCGUAAAGAGUUGCGUAGGCGGUUAUGUAAGCGAAUAGUGAAACCUGGUGGCUCAAUCACACAGACUAUUAUUCGAACUGCAUAACUCGAGAAUGGUAGAGGUAACUGGAAUUUCUUGUGUAGGAGUGAAAUCCGUAGAUAUAAGAAGGAACACCAAUGGCGUAGGCAGGUUACUGGGCCAUUUCUGACGCUAAGGCACGAAAGCGUGGGGAGCGAACCGGAUUAGAUACCCGGGUAGUCC